UCCGCAGGCGGGCAAUUAAGUCAGAGGUGAAAUCCCACAGCUCAACUGUGGAACUGCCUUUGAUACUGGUUGUCUUGAGUUAUAGUGAAGUAGAUAGAAUAUGUAGUGUAGCGGUGAAAUGCAUAGAUAUUACAUAGAAUACCGAUUGCGAAGGCAGUCUACUAACUAUAUACUGACGCUGAUGGACGAAGGCGUGGGGAGCGAACAGGAUUAGAUACCCUGGUAGUC
rnacentral:rRNA from 1 species